UACGUAGGGCGCAAGCGUUGUCCGGAAUCAUUGGGCGUAAAGCGCACGUAGGCGGUUCGUUAUGUCGGAUGUGAAAGCCCUUGGCUUAACCGAGGAAGUGCAUCCGAAACUGGCGAGCUAGAGUACUAAAGAGGAUCGCGGAAUUCCCGGUGUAGAGGUGAAAUUCGUAGAUAUCGGGAGGAACACCGGUGGCGAAGGCGGCGAUCUGGGUAGAUACUGACGCUGAGGUGCGAAAGCGUGGGGAGCAAACAGG
rnacentral:rRNA from 1 species